CUUGCUUUCUUUGCUGGCGACCGGCGCACGGGUGAGUAACACGUAUCCAACCUGCCCUUUACUCGGGGGUAGCCUUUCGAAAGAAAGAUUAAUACCCGAUAGUAUAAUGAUUCCGCAUGGUUUCAUUAUUAAAGGAUUCCGGUAAAGGAUGGGGAUGCGUUCCAUUAGGUUGUUGGUGAGGUAACGGCUCACCAAGCCUUCGAUGGAUAGGGGUUCUGAGAGGAAGGUCCCCCACAUUGGAACUGAGACACGGUCCAA
rnacentral:rRNA from 1 species